UACGUAGGGACCAAGCGUUGUUCGGAUUUACUGGGCGUAAAGGGCGCGUAGGCGGCUUAACAAGUCACUUGUGAAAUCUCCGGGCUUAACUCGGAACGGCCAAGUGAAACUGUCAAGCUAGAGUGCAGAAGGGGCAAUCGGAAUUCUUGGUGUAGCGGUGAAAUGCGUAGAUAUCAAGAGGAACACCUGAGGUGAAGACGGGUUGCUGGGCUGACACUGACGCUGACAGCGCGAAAGCCAGGGGAGCAAACGGG
rnacentral:rRNA from 1 species